UGGCUCCACCAUUUGUUCCUUCAAAAUUAAACAUAAUCACUAUCAAUAUCAAACCAUUUUAACAAAAUCGCCUAAUCCAUAUUUUUAAUAAAAAAAAUAUUAUAUCAUAUUUUAUUAUAUAUUCAUUUAAUUUUAUUAAAUAUAAAAUGCAAAAUUUUAGGGGUGUGAAAAGGGGAAAGUUUUAGGUAAAGUGGUGCACGAUUGCGCCACGUAAAGUGAUGAUAAUUAUUCUGUAAGGGACCCAUCACCCGUGAACGCACAGUGGAUUUGGAUUUGGUGGUGGCAAGUUAAAAGGUAAGUUGGUUGGUACAUUUCCAUCAUUUUCUCUUUUUUUUUUUUCAGAACUUUCCCGGCAUCCAAACAUAAGAUUAGAAAACAAGGGCAACAUACAGGAUCAUCAGUGACAGGAGAAG
rnacentral:misc_RNA from 1 species